rnacentral:rRNA from 1 species
UACGUAGGGGGCAAGCGUUGUCCGGAUUUAUUGGGCGUAAAGAGCGUGUAGGCGGCUUGGUAGGUCCGCUGUGAAAACUCGAGGCUCAACCUCGAGACGCCGGUGGAAACCAUCAGGCUAGAGUCCGGAAGAGGAGAGUGGAAUUCCUGGUGUAGCGGUGAAAUGCGCAGAUAUCAGGAGGAACACCGGUGGCGAAGGCGGAUCUCUGGGCCAUUACUGACGCUGAGGAGCGAAAGCGUGGGGAGCGAACAGG